rnacentral:rRNA from 1 species
GCCCCAGUAACGGCGAGUGAAGCGGCAACAGCUCAAAUUUGAAAUCUGGCUUCGGCCCGAGUUGUAAUUUGUAGAGGAUGCUUUUGGUGAGGUGCCUUCUGAGUUCCCUGGAACGGGACGCCAGAGAGGGUGAGAGCCCCGUAUAGUUGGACACCGAGCCUCUGUAAAGCUCCUUCGACGAGUCGAGUAGUUUGGGAAUGCUGCUCAAAAUGGGAGGUAUAUCUCUUCUAAAGCUAAAUACUGGCCAGAGACCGAUAGCGCACAAGUAGAGUGAUCGAAAGAUGAAAAGCACUUUGAAAAGAGGGUUAAAUAGUACGUGAAAUUGUUGAAAGGGAAGCGCUUGUGACCAGACUUGUGCCCGGCUGAUCAUCCAGUGUUCUCACUGGUGCACUCUGCCGGGCUCAGGCCAGCGUCGGUUCUCGCAGGGGGACAAAAGCUUCGGGAACGUAGCUCCUCCGGGAGUGUUAUAGCCCGUUGCUCAAUACCCCUGCGGGGACCGAGGUUCGCGCUCUGCAAGGACGCUGGCAUAAUGGUCAUCAGCGGCCCGUCUUGAAACACGGACCAAGGAGUCGAGGUUUUGCGCGAGUGUUUGGGUGUAAAACCCGCACGCGUAAUGAAAGUGAACGUAGGUGAGAGCUUCGGCGCAUCAUCGACCGAUCCUGAUGUAUUCGGAUGGAUUUGAGUAAGAGCGUAUAGCCUCGGACCCGAAAGAUGGUGAACUAUGCCUGAAUAGGGUGAAGCCAGAGGAAACUCUGGUGGAGGCUCGCAGCGGUUCUGACGUGCAAAUCGAUCGUCAAAUUUGGGCAUGGGGGCGAAAGACUAAUCGAACCAUCUAGUAGCUGGUUACCGCCGAGC